rnacentral:rRNA from 1 species
AGCCACCGCGGUAAUUCCAGCUCCAAUAGCGUAUAUUAAAGUUGUUGCAGUUAAAAAGCUCGUAGUUGAAUUUCGGGGUUAGUAGGUUGGUCAUGCCUCUGGUAUGUACUGGUCUCACUGAUUCCUCCUUCCUGAUGAGCCGUAAUGCCAUUAAUUUGGUGUUGCGGGGAAUUUGGACUGUUACUUUGAAAAAAUUAGAGUGUUUAAAGCAAGCUAACGCUUGAAUACAUUAGCAUGGAAUAAUGAAAUAGGACGUUCGAUCCUAUUUUGUUGGUUUCUAGGAUUGACGUAAUGAUUAAUAGGGAUAGUUGGGGGCAUUAGUAUUCAAUUGUCGGAGGUGAAAUUCUUGGAUUUAUUGAAGACUAACUACUGCGAAAGCAUUUGCCAAGGAUGUUUUCAUUAAUCAAGAACGAAAGUUAGGGGAUCGAAGACGAUCAGAUACCGUGCGUAGUCCUUAACCAUAAAUCAAGCCUAUUUGGGAUCGGAUGAUGUUAAUUUUUUAAUGACUCA